CGCGCAGGUGGUUUCUUAAGUCUGAUGUGAAAGCCCACGGCUCAACCGUGGAGGGUCAUUGGAAACUGGGGAGCUUGAGUGCAGAAGAGGAAAGUGGAAUUCCAUGUGUAGCGGUGAAAUGCGUAGAGAUAUGGAGGAACACCAGUGGCGAAGGCGACUUUCUGGUCUGUAACUGACACUGAGGCGCGAAAGCGUGGGGAGCAAACA
rnacentral:rRNA from 1 species